CAGUAGCCGCGGUAAUACAGAGGGUGCAAGCGUUAAUCGGAAUUACUGGGCGUAAAGCGCGCGUAGGUGGUUUGUUAAGUUGGAUGUGAAAUCCCCGGGCUCAACCUGGGAACUGCAUCCAAAACUGGCAAGCUAGAGUAUGGUAAAGGGUGGUGGAAUUUCCUGUGUAGCGGUGAAAUGCGUAGAUAUAGGAAGGAACACCAGUGGCGAAGGCGACCACCUGGACUGAUACUGACACUGAGGUGCGAAAGCGUGGGGAGCAAACAGGAUUAGAUACCCCCGUAGUCCCUGUCUCUUAUAC
rnacentral:rRNA from 1 species